GAUGAACGCUGGCGGCGUGCCUAAUACAUGCAAGUCGAGCGAACAGACGAGGAGCUUGCUCCUCUGACGUUAGCGGCGGACGGGUGAGUAACACGUGGAUAACCUACCUAUAAGACUGGGAUCACUUCGGGAAACCGGAGCUAAUACCGGAUAAUAUAUUGAACCGCAUGGUUCAAUAGUGAAAGGCGGUUUUGCUGUCACUUAUAGAUGCAUCCGCGCCUCAUUAGCUAGUUGGUAAGGUAACGGCUUACCAAGGCAACGAUGCGUAGCCGACCUGAGAGGGGGAUCGGCCACACUGGAACUGAGACACGGUCCAGACUCCUACGGGAGGCAGCAGUAGGGAAUCUUCCGCAAUGGGCGAAAGCCUGACGGAGCAACGCCGCGUGAGUGAUGAAGGUCUUCGGAUCGUAAAACUCUGUUAUUAGGGAAGAACAAUUGUGUAAGUAACUAUGCACGUCUUGACGGUACCUAAUCAGAAAGCCACGGCUAACUACGUG
rnacentral:rRNA from 1 species